UUUCAGGGGAUUUCAGUCCACCGUGGCUAUGGACAUGGCUUAGCUCAUGGCUGUGGGAGCAUGAGGUGACUGGUCACAUCAUGGCAGCAGAUGAGAAACAGAGAGCAGGAAGCAGAAGCAGGAAUGGUGCAAUUGAACUUGAAGCUUCGAGUGACUAUUGCCUGGAAUGGACUUCAAGAUUCAACUUGGAAGAGAAAGCUCAGCCUGGCAGGAAAAUGCCUGAAAACAGAUGGCAAGGAAGCCUGGGUCAAGAUUCUAGCUGAAGGUCUGUGAGAUGGCUCAGUGGAUAGAGGGCCUUCCACCAAGCCCCACAAGCUCAGUAGACCGACACUCGCAGCAAAAUUAUAUACAAUCUGCGUUAUUGCUGAGUACCUGGACAGAGGCCAUCUCCUUGGCUGCGGUGUGCUGCAGGGGGCGUGGCCCUCCAGCAGGAGUCCUCAAACUCCAGGGUGCAUUGGGUUGACCUGAAGGAUGACAGGCUUGGUAGAGUGAGAACCCAAGUUCAGGUCCCAGCACCUGUGUCUGGCGAGCUGGCGAGCUACAGUUGCCAGCUGGUGAACUCCAGCUCCAGGAAAUCUGGAAUCUUCUGGCCUCUGCACGUAUUGCGGUAACACAGACCCACCACACACGUACAAAAACAAAGAUAACAAAGUUCAUACGUGUGUGCUAUGGGCCAGACACGGUUCUUAUAUACUCCUCUACUUCCAAUCAACACUGAAAGCUGAGUUAAUUCCUGUUAUGGUGCUGGAUGACAAAGGCCACCAUAGGCUCUUCGGUUUGAAUGUUUGGUCCCAAGUUGGUGGAACUGUUUUGUAAGGAUUGGGAGGUAUGGACUUGGUGGAGGAGGUAGAUCACUGUGGGUUGGCUCUGAGGUUUCAAAAGCCCAAUCUAUUUCAGGUAUAUCUCUCUGCCUUGUGGUUGGUUGUCCAAUGUAUAAGCUCUCAGCUACUGUUCCAUUACCAUGCCUGUCUGCUGCCAUACUUUCCACCAUGAUGGUUAUGGACUCACCCUCCAAAGCUAUAAGCAAGCCCCCAAUUAAAUACUUUCUUUUUAUCA